CAAAGAAAGUUUACAAGACGUCAUCUUCACCUCUCUUCUGUCAGACACUGAGGUCCAAUGCAGUCAUAGAAUGAGAAGAGCCUGCUUUAUGAGAGUCUGUCUGAGAGUCAUAUAAUUGACUUUUCAUUGAGGCCCUAAAGAAUCAUAUCAACAAUUAGAAAAUGGGCAUCCAAUGACCUCUUUAAUAAUUUUUCAGUCAGUGUCUGCUCAGCUGAUGGAGCUCUUCCGUGAUCGUUUGGGUUCAUCGAUAAGCUGCGUUGCUGCGAAGGUCAAGCGCAAAUCUCCUUCUGCUGCCAUCUUUCUGAACGGGAAAACCUCUCUG